ensembl:lncRNA
CGAGACAUGGCACACAUCAGGACAUGAUGGUGCAUUAAUUUGAUGGAACGGUUCCAGAUUGAUGGGUAAGACAACUUUAAAUGUAACUUCCUACACAACAUUAAUUAUACAUUAGUUAACCUUUUUUUCUGUCACUGUCACUCGAAAGCCACCGACAGAGGUUUGCAUACUGGACAAAUGAGGCCCCAGCAUUGCUCUAAGGAUCACUGCAGCCGAUCUACAGGAUCCCGAAGACCAGAAAAAGGGAUCAUGAGAUGCCAACAUCUGUGCUUGAUGAAAUCCUCAAAGAGGUGGUGCUCCAGGAAGGAGAUAAUGUCUACCUGACAUUGGCUCUGGUGUUGCUACCUGGAGUAGGUUUUCUGCAAUGUAC